UACAGAGGUGGCAAGCGUUGUUCGGAAUUACUGGGCGUAAAGGGCGCGUAGGCGGCCUUCUAAGUCAGACGUGAAAUCCCCGGGCUUAACCUGGGAAUGGCAUUUGGGACUGCAAGGCUCGAGUGCGGCAGAGGAGACUGGAAUUCCUGGUGUAGCAGUGAAAUGCGUAGAUAUCAGGAGGAAUACCGAUGGCGAAGGCAGGUCUCUGGGCUGACACUGACGCUCAUGCACGAAAGCGUGGGGAGCAAACAGG
rnacentral:rRNA from 1 species